rnacentral:rRNA from 1 species
UAGGGAAUCUUCCACAAUGGACGCAAGUCUGAUGGAGCAACGCCGCGUGAGUGAAGAAGGUUUUCGGAUCGUAAAGCUCUGUUGUUGGUGAAGAAGGAUAGAGGUAGUAACUGGCCUUUAUUUGACGGUAAUCAACCAGAAAGUCACGGCUAACUACGUGCCAGCAGCCGCGGUAAUACGUAGGUGGCAAGCGUUGUCCGGAUUUAUUGGGCGUAAAGCGAGCGCAGGCGGAAGAAUAAGUCUGAUGUGAAAGCCCUCGGCUUAACCGAGGAACGGCAUCGGAAACUGUUUUUCUUGAGUGCAGAAGAGGAGAGUGGAAUUCCAUGUGGAGCGGUGGAAUGCGUAGAUAUAUGGAAGAACACCAGUGGCGAAGGCGACUCUCUGGUCUGCAACUGACGCUGAGGCUCGAAAGCAUGGGUAGCGAACAGG